CGCACCUUGCGCUCUCGGGUCAUUCCUGGGAGCAUGUUCGUUUGAGUGUCGCGUGCCUCUCAACCCCCUUCGCUUUACAGGAAGUGUCAGGGUUGGAUCUUGACAGAUUGCCUCAAUGCCCGAGGCUCUGUUGAAAUACAACAAGCUGUACCUUUUCGCACUGGCGGCUUGACCUGUUGUCAUAAGUUCCUUGCAACCUUUCAACGGGGACGCCAAGUCUGGAUGAGCUUACCACAAAACGAAGCGCAAGCUUCCCUCUCUACAUUGACCUCAAAUCGAGCAGGACUACCCCCUGAACUUAA
rnacentral:misc_RNA from 1 species